rnacentral:rRNA from 1 species
AGUGAACGCUGGCGGUAGGCCUAACACAUGCAAGUCGAACGGCAGCACAGUAAGAGCUUGCUCUUACGGGUGGCGAGUGGCGGACGGGUGAGGAAUACAUCGGAAUCUACUUUUUCGUGGGGGAUAACGUAGGGAAACUUACGCUAAUACCGCAUACGACCUACGGGUGAAAGCAGGGGAUCUUCGGACCUUGCGCGAUUGAAUGAGCCGAUGUCGGAUUAGCUAGUUGGCGGGGUAAAGGCCCACCAAGGCGACGAUCCGUAGCUGGUCUGAGAGGAUGAUCAGCCACACUGGAACUGAGACACGUUCCAGACUCCUACGGAAGGCAGCAGAGGGGAAUAUUGGACAAUGGGCGCAAGCCUGAUCCAGCCAUACCGCGUGGGUGAAGAAGGCCUUCGGGUUGUAAAGCCCUUUUGUUGGGAAAGAAAAGCAGCAGGUUAAUACCCCGCUGUUCUGACGGUACCCAAAGAAUAAGCACCGGCUAACUUCGUG